CUCUUUCUCCCAGUUAUUACGUUUCGAGUCGACGAGCAACGUACACAUACCGCAACGCGGAGCAUAUAUAACGGCGCGUUAAUUAUCAUUCCCGUUGGAUCUUGAAAUAUUUAAUAUAACUCUCGUCGGUAUCGCGUUAAUUAACACACAUUUCGAUCGAAUCGUACCUACGUGGGUGUCAGUGCUACUCUGGGGAGCUACAGCCGAGACUCAGGGUGCUGGAUUGUAAAGCCAGAAUUUUGGGACGUAGCCUGCAAUAUAUCGUGUACUUCCAGAUCUGGUCUAGAAUGCUGUUCUGAAUGCGAUUCCGGAGAAUUCAGAUGCAGUACCGGAGGAUCCGGUUCAGGCAUAGCGAAUUUGACUUGAGGAUCUGGUAGCUGAAGUAGCUGGGAUGAAUGUCAAAGUAUCGGUGAGUCACUUGUGUGAACUUGGCACACCAUAUUUAAAAAUGUGACAUUUUUUUUAGAGUUCUGAUACUCUCUUGAAAAGUUCUAGAGCUCUUUGCAA